rnacentral:rRNA from 1 species
AACGAACGCUGGCGGCAGGCCUAACACAUGCAAGUCGAGCGCCCCGCAAGGGGAGCGGCGGACGGGUGAGUAACGCGUGGGAACGUGCCCUUUGCUUCGGAAUAGCCUCGGGAAACUGAGAGUAAUACCGAAUGUGCCCUACGGGGGAAAGAUUUAUCGGCAAAGGAUCGGCCCGCGUUGGAUUAGGUAGUUGGUGGGGUAACGGCCUACCAAGCCGACGAUCCAUAGCUGGUUUGAGAGGAUGAUCAGCCACACUGGGACUGAGACACGGCCCAGACUCCUACGGGAGGCAGCAGUGGGGAAUCUUAGACAAUGGGCGCAAGCCUGUUCUAGCCAUGCCGCGUGAGCGAUGAAGGCCUUAGGGUUGUAAAGCUCUUUCAGCGAGGAAGAUAAUGACUGUACUCGCAGAAGAAGCCCCGGCUAACUCCGUGCCAGCCGCCGCCGUAAUAC